AAAAAAAUAAUUUUCCACACUUUGGCUUCAGGGGAUAGUGGAGUGGGGGCUGUGGGAGCACGUGGGAGCGAGAGCGGUAGACAGAGAGAGAGAGAGAGAGAGAGAGACCCAGAGAAACAGAGAGAGCGAGAAUCAGCUAUUUAGAGGAGCCUUGCCAUGUCAGAAAGCAAGGGUGAGGAGAACAUGCUCAUUACGGAAAAGGAGACAGACACAGCUGGGUUGUCCAAGGCCCCGUGCUUGGAGCUGCGAACGGCCAUGGAGAAAUGCAUUGCAGAUAAAGGUGAAGAGAAAUGUAAAGAAGCAACUCAGGCCUACAAAAGCUGCAUGAAAGCCUUAGGACUUAAAGUUUAACAAUAGCUGACUGCUCCUCCCCAACAUGGACAUCUUGGCCGACCAUCAUCACUUGAAGAUUCAGCCAAUGUGCAACAGAGAUCCACUGAAGGUGCUGACCAACCGAAUCCUUUAUAGAACCUCUGAUGAAGUCUCAGCCAAUCAGUAUUGGCUCUAGCCCAGGAUCAAACUAUCAGCCAAUACACUCUUGUUUUGUUGUGAACUAACGUUGCUUGGGUAAAUAUUUUUUAAAAUUAUAAAAGUAUUAAAACACUGCAGCAAUUCAA